UCUUGUAGAACUGAUCAUACUCUGAAUGUUAUCAAACACUUAGAACAUAGGUUUGUACAUACAUACUAACCCAUCAGCAAAGAUCACUCCAUAUAACUAAUUCAACCUUUGAUAUGCUUAUGACCUAUUUCAGAUUUCUUUCAAGAUGUCAUUUUCAACCUAAAACUUGGAUAGAGAGAAAGUUUGUAAGCAUUUGAGUUUCCAUCCUCAGUAUACUUUCUCUCUUCAUUGUUUUAGGUAGAUUAUGAUUCCUUGAAGGAAUACUGUUAUAGUUCAUAAGGAGAUGCAACAUGAUGUACACAAUUAGAUUAGUGAGGAAUCGUACCUUUCUGCUGUCAGUUUCUUAACAGUCAUUUAUCUUAGAUAUACUGAGGUUAGGCAUUGAUGUGCAUAGUUUCUCAUUAGCUCCUGACAGCUUGUUGCUCCUCUUGACCUUCAAUCAAUCAGCCGUGGUCUUGAAGAUGCAAGAUAAGAAAAUCUCAGCAUCUUUAGUUCUUUGACAUCCUUGAGUUCACAAGGUUUACAUCCAGCUACUGGUUGGUCAGAUACAUGUUUGAGAAGUUCUUCUUUCUUCUUUGAAUAAUCAUUUCUUAGCAUGUAUGGCCUUUUCAUCUUUUCAGGCUGGAGGAUGUUUGACUCUUUUCUGUUGAUGUCUUUUGAGCUUUCUAGCCUGGUCUUCAGACUACAAGAUUGACUGUGGGCAGGGAUUGGUCUUGUUGAUAUGGCAAUCAAAAACAUGUACCAAUCCGAGCAGCUUUAGGUG
rnacentral:lncRNA from 1 species